AGGACGAACGCUGGCGGCGUGCUUAACACAUGCAAGUCGAGCGGAAAGGCCUUUCGGGGUACUCGAGCGGCGAACGGGUGAGUAACACGUGAGUAAUCUGCCCAUCGCUUCAGGAUAGCCAUCGGAAACGGUGAUUAAUACUGGAUAUGACAUUCCUUCGCAUGUUGGGGUGUGGAAAGUUUUUUCGGCGGUGGAUGUGCUCGCGGCCUAUCAGCUUGUUGGUGGGGUAAUGGCCUACCAAGGCUUUGACGGGUAGCCGGCCUGAGAGGGUGACCGGCCACGACGUGGGACUGAGACACGGCCCAGACUCCUACGGGAGCAGCAGUGGGAAUAGUGGACAAGUGGGCGGAAGCCUGAUCCAGCAACGCCGCGUGAGGAUGACGGUCCUUCGGUUCGUAAACGUCUU
rnacentral:rRNA from 1 species